rnacentral:rRNA from 1 species
UACGUAGGGCGCAAGCGUUAUCCGGAAUUAUUGGGCGUAAAGAGCUCGUAGGCGGUUUGUCGCGUCUGCCGUGAAAGUCCGGGCUCAACUCCGGAUCUGCGGUGGGUACGGGCAGACUAGAGUGCAGUAGGGGAGACUGGAAUUCCUGGUGUAGCGGUGAAAUGCGCAGAUAUCAGGAGGAACACCGGUGGCGAAGGCGGGUCUCUGGGCCGAUACUGACGCUGAGGAGCGAAAGCUAGGGGAG